rnacentral:lncRNA from 1 species
CUCCGCCCCGCCGCCGCCCCUCGGAAAAUAAUAAACAAUCGAGUAAAAUGCGGCGCGGGGCGGGGGUCCGGGCGGGCUCCGCGCCCCCUCCCCGGAGUUGCCCCUCGCUCCGGGCCCUGCCUGCAGCCCUGCCGCCAGAAAAGCCUUUCCUCUAGGUGCUGCGGCGCUCGCACGGAAAUUGCCUCAGCCAGAAGGAACUGGGUAACUGCUGACUCAGGAGCUGCAUCAAGUCGGAGGAAUGGGAAGGGGCUCGUGUUUCCCGAGU